CCUGGUGGUUAAAGAAAAGAGGAAACACCUGUUAUCAUUCCGAACACAGAAGUUAAGCUCUUAUUCGCUGAUGGUACUGCGAGUUCGCGGGAGAGUAGGUUAUUGCCAGG
rnacentral:rRNA from 13 species